rnacentral:rRNA from 1 species
UACGUAGGGGGCUAGCGUUGUCCGGAAUCAUUGGGCGUAAAGAGCGUGUAGGCGGCCCGGUAAGUCCGCUGUGAAAGUCGGGGGCUCAACCCUCGGAUGCCGGUGGAUACUGUCGGGCUCGAGUACGGAAGAGGCGAGUGGAAUUCCUGGUGUGGCGGUGAAAUGCGCAGAUAUCAGGAGGAACACCUAUUGCGAAGGCAGCUCGCUGGGACGUUACUGACGCUGAGACGCGAAAGCGUGGGGAGCAAACAGG